rnacentral:rRNA from 1 species
UACAGAGGGUGCGAGCGUUGUUCGGAAUUACUGGGCGUAAAGCGCGCGCAGGCGGCUUUUUAAGUCCGACGGUGAAAUGCCGGGGCUCAACCCCGUGCCCGCCGCGGAUACUGGGGAGCUGGAGACGAGUAGAGGCAAGCGGAAUUCCGGGGUGUAGCGGUGGAAUGCGUAGAGAUCCGGAAGAACACCGGUGGCGAAGGCGGCCUGCUGGGCAGUAGCUGACGCUGAGGCGCGACAGCGUGGGGAGCAAACAGG